rnacentral:rRNA from 2 species
GAUGUGGAAGCAUAGUGAUAUGUGAAGCUGACCAAUACUAAUUGCUCGUGAGGCUUGACUAUACAACACCCA